GACGAACGCUGGCGGCGUGCCUAAUACAUGCAAGUUGAGCGCUGAAGGUUGGUACUUGUACCAACUGGAUGAGCAGCGAACGGGUGAGUAACGCGUGGGGAAUCUGCCUUUGAGCGGGGGACAACAUUUGGAAACGAAUGCUAAUACCGCAUAAAAACUUUAAACACAAGUUUUGAGUUUGAAAGAUGCAAUUGCAUCACUCAAAGAUGAUCCCGCGUUGUAUUAGCUAGUUGGUGAGGUAAAGGCUCACCAAGGCGAUGAUACAUAGCCGACCUGAAAGGGUGAUCGGCCACAUUGGGACUGAGACACGGCCCAAACUCCUACGGGAGGCAGCAGUAGGGAAUCUUCGGCAAUGGACGAAAGUCUGACCGAGCAACGCCGCGUGAGUGAAGAAGGUUUUCGGAUCGUAAAACUCUGUUGGUAGAGAAGAACGUUGGUGAGAGUGGAAAGCUCAUCAAGUGACGGUAACUACCCAGAAAGGGACGGCUAACUACGUG
rnacentral:rRNA from 1 species